GACGAACGCUGGCGGCGUGCUUAACACAUGCAAGUCGAACGGGAGUAUCGAAGAAGCUUGCUUUAGAGAUACUUUAGUGGCGGACGGGUGAGUAACGCGUGAGGAGCUGUCCGAUGCAGGGGGACAACAGUUGGAAACGACUGCUAAUACCCCAUAAGCCGAGAGGUAAAAGGAUUUAUCCGGCAUGGGAGGUACUCGCGUCCUAUCAGCUAGUAGGUGAGGUAACGGCUCACCUAGGCGAAGACGGGUAGCCGGCCUGAGAGGGCGAACGGCCACACUGGAACUGAGAUACGGUCCAGACUCCUACGGGAGGCAGCAGUGGGGAAUAUUGGGCAAUGGGGGGAACCCUGACCCAGCGACGCCGCGUGGGUGAAGAAAUCCUUCGGGAUGUAAAGCCCUGUUGUAUGGGAAGAGCGGAAGACGGUACCAUACGAGGAAGCCCCGGCAAACUACGUGCCAGCCGCGCGGUAACAC
rnacentral:rRNA from 1 species